AGGAGUCCUACUGAAGCUUCCUGUGGACUUGGCUCCUGGGAAAGCAGCCUGCCAGGCUCCUGCGUCCAUGAGAUUUUCCCAGCAAGAAUACUGGCAUGGGUUGCCAUUUCCUUCUCCAGGGGAUCUUCCUGACCCAGGGAUUGAACCUGUGUCUUCUGCAUCUCCUGAGUUGCAGGGUUGGCCCUUUAACAUCUGUUGCGACAUGCCACCGAGUGUACAAGAAACAGCAUGAGAAGCCUCCUUUGGACCUUGAGGAAUUUAUUUAAUUUGUGAUGGUUUGCAUUUUGUUUGUGGGAGGAAUAAAAAC
ensembl:lncRNA